CGAGCACGCGCGUGUGGCAUAUCAAUAAGCGGAGGAAAAGAAACUAACUAGGAUUCCCUCAGUAACGGCGAGUGAAGCGGGAAGAGCUCAAAUUUGAAAUCUUCAAGGUUCUACCUUGACGAAUUGUAGUUUAAAGAAGUGUUUUCUGUUGGAGUUUUGGUAAAAGUUCUUUGGAAUAGGACAUCAUAGAGGGUGAGAAUCCCGUAUUUGGUCAUUCUUUCUAGCUUUGUGAUACACUUUCAACGAGUCGGAUUGUUUGGGAAUGCAGUCCAAAAUGGGUGGUAAAUUUCAUCUAAAGCUAAAUAUUGGCGAGAGACCGAUAGCGAACAAGUACCGUGAGGGAAAGAUGAAAAGAACUUUGAAAAGAGAGUUAAACAGUACGUGAAAUUGUCAAAAGGGAAGCGUUUGACACCAGUGUUGUUUUUCCGAAAAUCAAUUACGAAUGUUUUGUUUUUAAGGAGUUAUGACUUCAUCGGCUUGCUUCUUUCUUUACGAAACUUUCUUAAUGCACUUUUCGGUUAACAAGUCAACAUCAAUUUCUUUUGUUGUAAAAGGGUAUGAGGAAGGUGGCUUUCUUUUCGGAGAAAGUGUUUAUAGCCUUGUGCCUCUGCAAUCGGAGAGAUUGAGGUCUGCAGCGUAGAUCCUUCGGGGUUAGAUACGUUUGUGCUAAGUUAUAGCUUUUCAUAGACAACUUGUUGACUAUGUUUAGUCUUGUAGCUUACUCGCUGACGCUAUUUUACCUACGCUUAGGAUGUUGAACUCUAUCACACACAG
rnacentral:rRNA from 1 species